GACGAACGCUGGCGGCGUGCUUAACACAUGCAAGUCGAACGGAAAGGCCCUGCUUUUGUGGGGUGCUCGAGUGGCGAACGGGUGAGUAACACGUGAGUAACCUGCCCUUGACUUUGGGAUAACUUCAGGAAACUGGGGCUAAUACCGGAUAGGAGCUCCUGCUGCAUGGUGGGGGUUGGAAAGUUUCGGCGGUUGGGGAUGGACUCGCGGCUUAUCAGCUUGUUGGUGGGGUAGUGGCUUACCAAGGCUUUGACGGGUAGCCGGCCUGAGAGGGUGACCGGCCACUGGGACUGAGAUACGGCCCAGACUCCUACGGGAGGCAGCAGUGGGGAAUAUUGCACAAUGGGCGGAAGCCUGAUGCAGCAACGCCGCGUGCGGGAUGACGGCCUUCGGGUUGUAAACCGCUUUCGCCUGUGACGAAGCGUGAGUGACGGUAAUGGGUAAAGAAGCACCGGCUAACUACGUGCCAGCAGCCGCGGUGAUACGUAGGGUGCGAGCGUUGUCCGGAUCUAUUGGGCGUAAAGGGCUCGUAGGUGGUUGAUCGCGUCGGAAGUGUAAUCUUGGGGCUUAACCCUGAGCGUGCUUUCGAUACGGGUUGACUUGAGGAAGGUAGGGGAGAAUGGAAUUCCUGGUGGAGCGGUGGAAUGCGCAGAUAUCAGGAGGAACACCAGUGGCGAAGGCGGUUCUCUGGGCCUUUCCUGACGCUGAGGAGCGAAAGCGUGGGGAGCGAACAGGCUUAGAUACCCUGGUAGUCCACGCUGUAAACGGUGGGUACUAGGUGUGGGGUCCAUUCCACGGGUUCCGUGCCGUAGCUAACGCUUUAAGUACCCCGCCUGGGGAGUACGGCCGCAAGGCUAAAACCCAAAGGAAUUGACGGGGCCCCGCACAAGCGGCGGAGCAUGCGGAUUAAUUCGAUGCAACGCGUAGAACCUUACCUGGGUUUGACAUGGAUCGGGAGUGCUCAGAGAUGGGUGUGCCUCUUUUGGGGUCGGUUCACAGGUGGUGCAUGGCUGUCGUCAGCUCGUGUCGUGAGAUGUUGGGUUAAGUCCCGCAACGAGCGCAACCCUUGUUCACUGUUGCCAGCACGUUAUGGUGGGGACUCAGUGGAGACCGCCGGGGUCAACUCGGAGGAAGGUGGGGAUGACGUCAAGUCAUCAUGCCCCUUAUGUCCAGGGCUUCACGCAUGCUACAAUGGCUGGUACAGAGAGUGGCGAGCCUGUGAGGGUGAGCGAAUCUCGGAAAGCCGGUCUCAGUUCGGAUUGGGGUCUGCAACUCGACCUCAUGAAGUCGGAGUCGCUAGUAAUCGCAGAUCAGCAACGCUGCGGUGAAUACGUUCCCGGGGCU
rnacentral:rRNA from 1 species